GCACACACACACACACACACACACACACACACACACUCACACACCCACACAGAAAACGCAACUUUCAGUGCAGUCAGAUCUUUCCUUCUUAACCUAGUCUACUCCAGUCAAGCCCAGCCCUACGCUGUUAGGUCCGACAAUCUCCAGCCUUUCUCACACAUGUCAUAUACACCUGUUCAGGAUGUACAUUCAGGGAUGCCAAGCUGGGGGAAGAAGAGCCCAAGUGACAAAGACAGAAAGCAAAGAUCGCGAGAGCCAGGCAGAGCC